AAAGAGAGAGAAAGCACAGUGAAGCUGGUCAUGUUGUGUACCGCCCAUCUCUUGACUGUCGCACUGUGUUGUGCUGAAAGUACAUCUGAUGAUACCAGGAUGUGGGCCUCUGUUUCCAGCUGCAGCUUGGAUGUGCUCGCAGGAAACUAUAAUUACAGUAUACAACAAUUAUCAUCAAGCUCAAUUUACAAGCAAAAGACACGAUACAGCAUGUUCAACUAAGCGAAGACAUAAGAGGGAAGACUGGCUUUGCCCAAAAUAAUCCAGCCGAGAUGUAAUAAACAAUAAAGAAGAAUGAAUCCCAGUGGAAGCAGAAGAAGUGCAAAAAGCAGUGGCCCUAAAACUGAGCCCUGUGGGACCCCAUAUGGCAGAGCGGGAAACAGAGCCAGCGAGGCUGAUAAUACUCAUCUAUUUUUCUCUGCUAAGAGUACACAGUUGUAAGUCAGUAGUGGUUAAUUUUGAUUGUUACUUCAAACUUUCUUCUUCCAAUGGCUGUCCCUUGAACAGCAUGUGGGCGGGGCUUGUGUGCUUCAAAUGUUCAGAUUGGGGAUAUCCGCCUUUUUUUUUUUUUUACAUUAUAUAGACCUAAUAGUAGAAAAAACUGCCUGAAGUGGAGUCUUUAGAGCAGUCUGAAGUUUCAGCUUGUACAAACAAUGACCUCAUUGCUGUAAAAGUAUAUUUAUGGCUCAAAAUAAGGAAGGAUUCACUUUUUAAAUAUAAUUUAAUCAUUUUCAAAGUGAAAGCAGCUGUUGCCUCUCAGAUGAGAGGUCAGCGCUGGAGCUUCCUUACUAUCAGUUCCACAAAGAAACCACAACUAGUCACUUCUAAAACAGAACUGAAGAUGUGUUAAAGGUAUUUAUGGCCCAUAAGGUCAAAAUCAUACAAUCCCUAUUCCGGCAACUCUUUCAAACUGCUGUAAUGCUCUCGAACAAGACUCUAAAGUGUAAUAUUUGA